AUACAUUGUACAAUAUAACUUUUCGUGUCCUGUAAUCGCAGAUUCAAGGGCAUAUAGUUUUUGGUCUGUUCUGUCUGUUUGUCCACAAAAACUUUAGCCAUGGCUGUAACUUUUGAAUGAAUGGUGAUAGGGCUUUGAUAUUCACAUGUGUAUUCCCUGUAAUAAGACCUUUCUUGGGGUACCAGAAUUACUUUGCUGUCGUAUUAGGGCAUCAAUAUUUCACAAAGAGAUAGAAUUUUGAAAAUUCAUUUGAUAAGUUUUACGAUAUAUUUAUGAUUAGCUCAUCAGAACUUUUAAGCUCAAGAGAAAUACAAUUGUAGGCCUACCUUUUAUCCAACGUCUGUCAGUCUGUAAACUUAACACAUUUUUAAUGUUUCUUCAGAACCGCAAGUCCAAUUUCAACCAAAUUUACCAUACAUCGAUCAUCCUUGAUAAAGGGGUUUAAAAUUGUUCAAAUGAAGAAUCACACCCUUUCCUAAGGGGACAUAAUUAAGAAAUGGUGAAAAUAUGGCGGCUUCUUUAAAAAAUCUUCUCAAGAACCACUUUGUCAGAAACGACAAGACUUUUGCAAAAGCUUCCUGAGUUUAAAUUCAACAUUGCUCAAAUCAUGGCCACUGAGGGUUGGAUGAAGACACCAUAGGGGGGGGGGGGGGUCAAAUUUUUACAUAGGAUGUGUUAAAUAAUUAGGAAAAUUGUUAAAAACCCUUCUUCUCAAGGACAACGGGGCCAUGGUUAAUCAUGAUAAAAUGCAAGCUUGUGCAAGUAGUGCAGAUUCAAGUUUGUUCAAAUCAUGGUCCUGAAGGUAAGAUGGGGCCUUUGAAUAAGAAAUCAAAGUCUUGAUGUAUAGGCAAAAAAUCUUUGAAAAUCUUCUGAAGACCAACAGGUCUAUGAUUAAGUCAUAGUAAUAUGCAAGUAUCCACAGGUAGUGCAAAUUCCUGUUUGUUUAAAUCAUGGUCCUUGAUGUAGGAUGGGGCCUCUAUAUGGGAUCAAUGUUUUACAUGGAAAUAUAAUGGGGGGAUCUCUAAAGAUCUUCUCUAGACCAGCAGGUACAUGAUUAGUCAUUAAUUAAAGGGAAUGUAGGGUCAAAAAUCAAAUUUUGAUAUGUGAAAACUGGUACCAUGCAGACAACAAAAUCUAGCAUAGAAAAAAUAAUUGCUGCUGAUAACAAGAUUUAAUCUGUCAUUUACACUGAAAACUGAGCUGAAUGGGAGAAUCGCUUAUCAUGGCGGCUGAUGACGUGUAUGCGGCAAUUCAUUACAACUGCUGUGCCUAGCACUAAAUGGGUUACAGAGUAUCUAUGAUCUAAAUGUCGGGAGUUCAAGCGAAAUUUAGCACUGUGGUCAAAGGAAAAGGAAUACAUGUAUCUACCUUUUAGCAUCCCUGAUCUCCCCCCAAAACUAUGAACAUUGUGCAAUAAUUGGAUACAUAACCUUGGAAAUGAAUCUUUUGUUUUUGAACGGCAUUUUGAGAAAGAGUCUUUUAAAGAGGAUAUCAGGUUAAGAUAUUGGGAUACACACCAAAACCUAUUAAAUAGAAGAUGCAGUAACUAAAAUAUUUGAUGGCAGCAAGCCUAAGAAAUAAGAGAAAAUAGCUCAAAAAGAUGAGGAAAAGGAAAAGCAGGAUACAUCUAAUCCAUUUUCUUUUGGAAACCAAUGAAAACUCAUAUGCAGAACCUAUUGACCAACCUGGACUAUCAGCAUCUAAGGAAACAGCUCAAUGAAGACAUGAAUAGUGACAAAAAUAUCCCACUCUCAAUCCAUAUUGAAGAAUAAAUCAACUUUGUGCAACAUAUACAGAUAGAAUUGCCCAGUCAAUUUGUCCAUCAUAUGUGCUAAGGAAUGUUCAAGUGAAGAAUGAAGAAGUGAAGAUAAUGAACAAUCCUGUAUAAAGAAUACAAAAUUAAAAGUUUAAGAAUUAA